rnacentral:rRNA from 1 species
UACGGUAGGGUGCGAGCGUUGUCCGGAAUUAUUGGGCGUAAAGAGCCUUGUAGGCGGUUUGUCGCCGUCUGCCGGUGAAAGUCCCGGGGCUCAACUCCGGGAUCUGCGGUGGGGUACGGGCAGACUAGAGUGAUGUAGGGGAGACUGGAAAUUCCUGGUGUAGCGGUGAAAUGCGCAGGAUAGUCAGGAGGAACACCGAGUGGCGAAGGCAGGUCUCUGGGGCAUUGAACUGACGCUGAGGAGCGAAAGCCAUGGGGAGCGAACAGG